UCAUGAAACUUGUGUCAUCUUUACCCGUUACUCCUAAUAAGGAAUUUCAGAAAAUGAUGAAUGGAGACCCAUGAGAUAUGAUUAAUAUCUCCAUCUUAGAGGGAACUGCAACACCUUCUAAGACCAUUCUGAC